rnacentral:rRNA from 1 species
AACGAACGCUGGCGGCAUGCCUAACACAUGCAAGUCGAACGAAGGCUUCGGCCUUAGUGGCGCACGGGUGCGUAACGCGUGGGAAUCUGCCCUUUGGUUCGGAAUAACAGCUGGAAACGGCUGCUAAUACCGGAUGAUGACGAAAGUCCAAAGAUUUAUCGCCAGAGGAUGAGCCCGCGUUGGAUUAGGUAGUUGGUGGGGUAAAGGCCUACCAAGCCGACGAUCCAUAGCUGGUCUGAGAGGAUGAUCAGCCACACUGGGACUGAGACACGGCCCAGACUCCUACGGGAGGCAGCAGUGGGGAAUAUUGGACAAUGGGCGCAAGCCUGAUCCAGCAAUGCCGCGUGAGUGAUGAAGGCCCUAGGGUUGUAAAGCUCUUUUACCCGGGAAGAUAAUGACUGUACCGGGAGAAUAAGCCCCGGCUAACUCCGUGC